AGUAAAUGAACAAAAUGGAGGACAUUAUUAAGUGGACUAUUACAGAAAUUGAAAAGAAUUAAAAUUGUCUUAUUUAUAAUUAAUUUGGAGUCACAAAAUAAAAUGACACAAAGUUUAUUUAGUUGUGAAAUAUAUUUGAUUAAAUUUUGGUAGACCAAGAGUUGUCAGUGGUCGAUCGCACUACCUAUCAACAAUCUCACUAGCGCACUCUCAAAUUCGGUCCAAAGCUCCUAAGGUCUUAUACGAGUAUUAAAUAAACUUCAUAUGGAACAUGUUACAAAUAUUACAACCUAAAAUCUGUCAGAUGGUAGUCUAAACUUCUACUAGUUAGGCUAACAACUUAUUCGCUGGAAAUAGCCGCAUAGGCUCCAUGGGUUAUAGACUGGAAAACGGAAUUAAAUAUUACAAAUCUUUUUAUCCAAGGAUAUUUGAAAAGUAUGGACUGUUUAAACAUUAAGGAGGGGAAGGAAUUUUGAGAUACCGAUAACACAGGACAAAAAGUGUCGGUCAUUUAGAACCGGGUCAAAAGGCGAGAUAUAAUAGCGAGGUUAUUAGAGAAUCAAAUCAAGAUACGUUCAAGACCUUCUUGAUUCUGGGGAUUCGGCCAAAGAAGAAAACUUGAUUGAUUCGAGGAUUAUGAGACAUACUAGGAAUAGAAACAAACAAUUGACUUAAUCCAAAUUCAAAUCGCAACGUACGACUGACGUUGACCUUGAAAUGGGAGCGCGACUGCUGUCUGCAAGCUGAUAACACCGUAAUAAUGUAGGCCUAUCCAAUCACGUGCCCUGGGAUACGGAGAUCUAGAUGCGUUCCGACCCGGUCGACUGCUCUGUGCACAUGAGCGUAUUGGGUUCUGUAUCAUAGGUUAGUGCUGUCUUAUGUUUUACCUAUGACGAAGGUAAUUCGUCAAAAUAGGUGCUUAUUGCUUUCGGUUGGUGUAACGAAAAUAGGUUUUUUUUAAUUGUGACUUGAGCAGGAAUGGUGAAAUCGGGGACAGAAAGGACUUGCAGUUGGUAUCAGGAUCUGAGUGGGGGUCAACUCUUUAGAAGCUCUUUGGGACUCUAAAAUACAUUAAGAAUUGGGUGAAGAAACAACCCAAGUUUUACCAUAUAAAAGUAACAUGAAGCAUUAAACCCUUUUAAACAUUAUGAUUGGCUUUCCUAGUACGAAAACCAGUAAACUCUUGUCUUCUGCAUCUAACUCAUUACGUUCGGUUGUAAAAUUAUGGAAUAUGUGUCAUUUUUAAAGAUAUAAUUAUAUGCAUGAAAUUAACAUUUGUAUGAAGUACAAAAAGUUAAGACUUAACUUUUCUCUGGAUAACCAAAAACAAUAUCAGUAACUAGAAUGCUUUGGGAUGCAUAAAAAAUGUGUUUAAAAUUUACUAAACAUUAUGUUAUUAUAAUAUUUUAAGAUGAAAUACACAAGUUUAUAGAG